rnacentral:misc_RNA from 1 species
GAUGAAGAACGUAGCGAAAUGCGAUACUUGGUGUGAAUUGCAGAAUCCCGUGAACCAUCGAGUCUUUGAACGCAAGUUGCGCCCGAAGCCAUCAGGUUGAGGGCACGUCUGCCUGGGCGUCACAUAUCGUUGCCCAAUGCCUAUUGCAGUGCAAUAGGAAUUUCUAGGGCGAAUGAUGGCUUCCCGUGAGCGUUGUUGCCUCGCGGUUGGUUGAAAAUCGAGUCCUUGGUAGGGUGUGCCAUGGUAGAUGGUGGUCGAGUUAGAACGAUACCGAUCAUGUGCAUGCUCCCCAAAAUAUGGCCUCUAUGACCCACACGCGUCUUUUGACGCUCAUGACGAGACCUCAGGUCAGGCGGGGCUACCCGCUGAAUUUAAGCAUAUCACUAAGCGGAGGA